UCAGUUUGUGGUAAUUGAAAGAUUAAGGGUGUUUAUUAAACUCUUAAAUGAUAUUGUAUGGCAUUCAAAUAACAAUUGAACUAUAAGUUUAGAAGUUAAGGGUGUUUAUUAGAUUGAAUUAGUUGUUAAUCCAAUUCACCCUAAUUAAUUCAUUUAUGAUAGAAACAAAAUCAAUUAAACUCAAACUAAUUCAAUUUUAAACGAUUUUUUGAUAUGUUUAGGAUGAGUAAUUUGAAAAGCAAUCUAA
rnacentral:lncRNA from 1 species